rnacentral:rRNA from 1 species
AUUGAACGCUGGCGGCAGGCCUAACACAUGCAAGUCGAGCGGAUGAGUGGAGCUUGCUCCAUGAUUCAGCGGCGGACGGGUGAGUAAUGCCUAGGAAUCUGCCUGGUAGUGGGGGACAACGUUUCGAAAGGAACGCUAAUACCGCAUACGUCCUACGGGAGAAAGCAGGGGACCUUCGGGCCUUGCGCUAUCAGAUGAGCCUAGGUCGGAUUAGCUAGUUGGUGAGGUAAAGGCUCACCAAGGCGACGAUCCGUAACUGGUCUGAGAGGAUGAUCAGUCAAACUGGAACUGAGACACGGUCCAGACUCCUACGGGAGGCAGCAGUGGGGAAUAUUGGACAAUGGGCGAAAGCCUGAUCCAGCCGUGCCGCGUGUGUGAAGAAGGUCUUCGGAGUGUAAAGCACUUUAAGUUGGGAAGAAGGGCAGUAAGUUAAUACCUUGCUGUUUUGACGUUACCGACAGAAUAAGCACCGGCUAACUUCGUGCCAGCCGCCGCGGUAACAC